GGGUAGCUCAUUUGGUAGAGCAUGAGACUCUUAAUCUGGGGGUCAUAGGUUUGAUCCCCACGUUGGGCA